GGACUGGAGGAUUGGCUUGGAGCUCAGGGACUGGAGGCUGGACCUGGAGCUCAGGGACUGGAGGCUUGGCUUGGAGCUCAGGGACUGGAGGCUUGGCUUGGAGCUCAGGGACUGGAGGCUGGACCUGGAGCUCAGGGACUGGAGGCUGGACCUGGAGCUCAGGGGCUGGCGGCUGGACCUGGAGCUGAGGGGCUGGCGGCUGGACCUGGAGCUCAGGGACGUGAGACUUGACUUGGAUCUCAGGGACGUGAGACUUGACUUGGACUUGGACCUUUUGUUGGAGCUUGGCGGGUGAGCCCACCUCGUGGGGCUGAGGUUCGAGCUCUGAGGUCACCCUGUCGGUCCCGGGCUGGGUCUCUGCACGGGCUCUCCGGUGGAGUUUCUUAUGUUCCCG
ensembl:lncRNA